rnacentral:rRNA from 1 species
UCCUACGGGAGGCAGCAGUGGGGAAUAUUGGGCAAUGGGCGCAAGCCUGACCCAGCCAUGCCGCGUGAGUGAUGAAGGCCUUCGGGUCGUAAAGCUCUGUGGGGAGGGACGAAACAGGACAUGGCUAACAUCCAUGGCCCUUGACGGUACCUCCUUAGCAAGCACCGGCUAACUCCGUGCCAGCAGCCGCGGUA